rnacentral:rRNA from 1 species
CACAAGCGGUGGAGCAUGUGGUUUAAUCGAAGCAACGCGAAGAACCUUACCAGGUCUUGACAUCCCCUGACAACCGAGAGAUCGGGCGUUCCCCUUCGGGGGACAGGGUGACAGGUGGUGCAUGGUUGUCGUCAGCUCGUGUCGUGAGAUGUUGGGUUAAGUCCCGCAACGAGCGCAACCCUCGACCUUAGUUGCCAGCAUUCAGUUGGGCACUCUAAGGUGACUGCCGGCUAAAAGUCGGAGGAAGGUGGGGAUGACGUCAAAUCAUCAUGCCCCUUAUGACCUGGGCUACACACGUGCUACAAUGGGCGGUACAAAGGGUCGCGAACCCGCGAGGCGGAGCGAAUCCCAUAAAACCGGCCCCAGUUCGGAUCGAAGGCUGCAACUCGCCUUCGUGAAGUCGGAGUUGCUAGUAAUCGCGGAUCAGCAUGCCGCGGUGAAUACGUUCCCGGGCCUU